UGGGCCUUAACUCAGUGGUAGGGCACUUGCUUUGCAUGCAAAAAGUCCCAGGUUCAGUUCCUGCCAUCUCCAA